rnacentral:tRNA from 1 species
GUGCCCUUAGCUCAGUUGGUUAGAGCGUUGUGCUAAUAACGCGAAGGUCGCAGUUUCGAAUCCUGCAUGGGCCA